rnacentral:rRNA from 1 species
AGCGAACGCUGGCGGCAGGCCUAACACAUGCAAGUCGAACGGAUCCUUCGGGAUUAGUGGCGGACGGGUUAGUAACACGUGGGAACGUGCCCUUUGGUUCGGAACAACUCAGGGAAACUUGAGCUAAUACCGGAUGUGCCCUUCUGGGGAAAGAUUUAUCGCCAUUGGAGCGGCCCGCGUCUGAUUAGCUAGUUGGUGAGGUAACGGCCCACCAAGGCGACGAUCAGUAGCUGGUCUGAGAGGAUGAUCAGCCACACUGGGACUGGGACACGGCCCAGACUCCUACGGGAGGCAGCAGUGGGGAAUCUUGCACAAUGGGCGAAAGCCUGACGCAGCCAUGCCGCGUGAAUGAUGAAGGUCUUAGGAUUGUAAAAUUCUUUCAGCGGGGACGAUAAUGACGGUACCCGCAGAAGAAGCUCCGGCUAACUUCGUG